rnacentral:rRNA from 1 species
CCUACGGGAGGCAGCAGUGGGGAAUAUUGCACAAUGGGCGCAAGCCUGAUGCAGCAACGCCGCGUGAGGGACGACGGCCUUCGGGUUGUAAACCUCUUUUAGUAGGGAAGAAGCGAAAGUGACGGUACCUGCAGAAAAAGCACCGGCUAACUACGUGCCAGCAGCCGCGGUAAUACGUAGGGUGCAAGCGUUAUCCGGAAUUAUUGGGCGUAAAGAGCUCGUAGGCGGUUUGUCGCGUCUGCUGUGAAAACUGGAGGCUCAACCUCCAGCCUGCAGUGGGUACGGGCAAACUAGAGUGCGGUAGGGGAGAUUGGAAUUCCUGGUGUAGCGGUGGAAUGCGCAGAUAUCAGGAGGAACACCGAUGGCGAAGGCAGAUCUCUGGGCCGUAACUGACGCUGAGGAGCGAAAGCAUGGGGAGCGAACAGGAUUAGAUACCCUGGUAGUCCAUGCCGUAAACGUUGGGCGCUAGAUGUGGGGACCAUUCCACGGUUUCCGUGUCGCAGCUACGCAUAAGUACGCCCCGCCGUCGGGAGGUACGGCCGCGACGGACGUAAACUAACGAAACGAAGUAGACGGCGUGAGGACGUACGCCGACGACGACGACGAGGGAGAGG